rnacentral:rRNA from 1 species
UAACUUUGAGCGGUGGAUCACUCGGCUCGUGCAUCGAUGAUGAACGCAGCAUCG